rnacentral:lncRNA from 1 species
CCCAAGCUCUGAGUCCUUUGAAUCCUUCUUUUCUACAGACCCAUCUGACCUCUCCCCUCCUCCCCAGGCUGCUUCUCGCUAGGCCGAGCCAGGUCCCAACUCUUCCUCAGCCACUGCUCCCCCACCCUAUAAUCCUUUUAUCACUUCCUCUCCUCACACCCGGUCUGCUUUACAGUUUCGUUCUGCGACUAGCUCUCCCCCACCUGCCCAACAAUUUCCUCUUAGAGAAGUGGCUGGAGCUGAAGGCAUAGUCUGGGUACAUGUGCCUUUUUCUGUAUCAGACUUUUCCCAAAUCAGCCAGUGUUUGGGCUCUUUCUCAUCAGACCCCACUAAAUAUAUACAGGAAUUCCGAUAUCUAACUCUGUCCUGCAAGUUAACCUGCAGUGACUUAAAUGUCAUCCUGACUUCCACCCUCUCCCCAGAUGAACAGGAAAGAGUUUUUUCUCUAGCCCAGUCUCACGCUGACAACCGCUGGCUUCAUGAGCCAGGCCUCCAGGAAGGCAUCAGAGCAGUUCCCCGAGAGGACCCCCAAAGGAACUAUCAGGCAGAUUCCCCAGGUAUAGCUAGGCGAGAUUACAUGAUUUCCUGCCUAGUUGAAGGGCUUAAAAAGGCAGCACACAAAGCUUUUAAUUAUGACAAAAUUAAAAACUACCCGAGGUAAAGACGAAAACCCAGCCCAGGUCAUGGCCCGCUUAGCAGCAACCCUUAGACGCUUUACCGCCCUAGACCCAGAGGGGCCGGAAGGCCGCCUUAUUCUCAAUAUGCAUUUUAUUACCCAGUCCGCUCCCGACAUUAGAAAAAGCUCCAAAAAUGAGCUUCCAGUCCUCAAACCCCACAACAGGACCUAAUUAACCGCGCCUUCAAGGUGUACAAUAAUAAAGAGUUGCAAUUACUUGCCUCUGCUGUGUGAGAAACCCCAGCCAUAUCUCCAGCACACAAAAACUUCAAAACGCCUAAGCCACAGCAGUCAGGCAUUCCUUCAGGACUUCCUCCCCCAGGAUCUUGCUUCAAGUGCUGGAAAUCUGGCCACUAGGCCAAGGGAUGCCCACAGAACUGGGACUCCUCCUAAGCCGUGUCCCAUCUGUGUGGGACCCCACUGGAAACUGGACUGUCUAACUGGCCCAAGGCUCUGACUGACUCCUUCCCAGAUCUUCUCGGCUCAGUGGCUGAAGACUGACGUUGCCUGAUCACCUCGGAAGCCUCCUGGACCAUCACAGACGCUUUGGGUAACUCUUACAGUGGAGGGAUACAAUUGAAGACACUGGUUAUUUUACCAAGGCUUUGAUUGGAAUGGCUUACUUUCAGAUAUAAAUCAACUGCUUUAAGGAAUCAAAGUUGACUUACAGAGUCAUAAAAGCCCCUUGGGAAAGCUGGCCUCAUGCCUUUCCACACAGUUCCUGUACAGUUUCCUGACGUGUGUUAUGCUGUGCUUUCUUAAAACCCUGUGAACUGAAGCUACACAACUUAAACUUCAGAAGAAAAUAACAGCAACCUAUAUGCCAGCCUACUGAUGUAUGAACUUCAGAGAAAAAUGGCUCUAUCUUUU